UACGGCGGGAGCUAGCGUUGUUCGGAAUUACUGGGCGUAAAGCGCACGUAGGCUGCUUUGUAAGUUAGAGGUGAAAGCCCGGGGCUCAACCCCGGAAUUGCCUUUAAGACUGCAUCGCUUGAAUCCGGGAGAGGUGAGUGGAAUUCCGAGUGUAGAGGUGAAAUUCGUAGAUAUUCGGAAGAACACCAGUGGCGAAGGCGGCUCACUGGACCGGUAUUGACGCUGAGGUGCGAAAGCGUGGGGAGCAAACAGG
rnacentral:rRNA from 1 species